ACACUACUUGGGUGACAGGUGCACUAAAAUCUCAGGCUUCACCACUAUACAAUUCAUCCAUGUAACCACAAACCACUUGCACCCCAGAAGCUAUAGAAAUAAAAUAAAAAUAAAAUCCCUUCCAUAACUGGUAAGAGUUACAUGAGGAGAGACAACUUUGGGGUAGAAAGGUGAUGUCUAGUAGAUAGUUGGAUAUGUGAGUAUGGAGGAUGGGAGAGUCAUAGCUGCAGAUUCACAAUGAUUACAAGCAUAUUAAACUCACUGAGAAAUCCUCCCAGACAAAUUCUUUCACUGAUUAAUCCUCAUUUUUUAUAUUGAUUUGUCCACAGAACCAUUUUUGUUAUAUUGUUUCUAUUAAAAUACUAUGAAAUUCGAUUUGUAUGAAAUAGUAUUAUUGAAGCAGUUCUCCAGUAGUUGCCACAGAAUGGCCAUUUAUAGCUGGUGUCAGUUCUCUGGAAA
rnacentral:lncRNA from 1 species